UUCUUCUUUACCUAACUUCAAAAAUCAAUUCAAAAGUUUUGAAAAAGCAAAAAACACAGCCAUUAUAAAACUUCCUCAGAAUCAGCAGGAGAUUGAGGAACUUAUAGAUCUUCAAUCUUCACGUUUUCUUUCUUCUAUCGUUUGCAACAACUUUCUCAUCCUUAUUUUUCCGGAAACAUGGAUGCGGAGAUGAAUGGUGCUGCACAUAAUGCUAGAGAACAAUUUCGCCCAACCCCAAAGUUGAACCAAAGGAUAAUUUCAUCAAUGUCAAGGAGAUCGGUUGCUGCCCAUCCUUGGCAUGACCUCGAGAUUGGACCCGAUGCACCAGAAACUUUUAAUUGUGUUGUUGAAAUAGCUAAAGGAAGCAAAGUCAAGUAUGAGCUUGAUAAGAAGACUGGGCUUAUUAAAGUUGAUAGAAUUUUAUAUUCAUCUGUGGUUUAUCCCCACAACUAUGGUUUCAUUCCAAGAACAUUGUGUGAAGAUGGUGAUCCCAUGGAUGUGUUAGUGCUUAUGCAGGAACCAGUCAUGCCAGGUUGCUUCCUCCGAGCUCGUGCCAUUGGUCUUAUGCCUAUGAUUGAUCAGGGAGAGAAAGAUGAUAAGAUAAUUGCAGUUUGUGCUGAUGAUCCUGAAGUUAAACACUACACUGACAUUAACCAACUCCCGCCUCAUCGUUUGGCUGAGAUCAGACGCUUUUUUGAGGACUACAAGAAAAACGAGAAUAAAGAGGUAGCAGUAGAUGAGUUUUUACCGGCUAAAACUGCUCACGAGGCCAUCCAGUACUCUAUGGAUCUCUACGCAGAAUACAUUCUACAGACAUUGAGGAGAUGAUUGAUCUGAAACCUUUUUGCUAACCUAUUAUGAAGUAAUCUUGAAGGCCGGGUUAAGGUUACAAAGAUGUUGAAUAGUAGAAAACGGUGUGACCAAGGUUGAAGACGACUCGGCAUUGAGUGCUGUUCUAUGCAUCGUUUUUCCAGAAGAUGGAGCCAAGUCGGCGGCCUGUGAUGAGUGAACCAAAGCCGACUCGGCGCAGUUACCUGAAAUGUGCUGGGUUGUUUGUUUUUCUCGUGAGUUUAGUGGAGCAGUUUCUUUCCUUGUUUUGUGCCGCUGGAAUGUGGGAUUUAUUUUCUCAGAGUUAUUUCCAAAUAAUGUGGCCGGUUAUUUUGUGGAUACUUGGAGCUAAUUUUUUUUUUUAAUUUUGGUUUUAUUAUAUAUACCUCCUCUUAUUAGUACUAGGGUUUAUUUUUUUUAUUCACAAAUAGAGAGAUCACAAGAGAGUCAUUAUUAUGUGAGAGGUAUCUUAAUUCAUCUUGUAAAUUCUUUGCGAUCAUAGUGAAAUUAUUCGAUUUUGAUAUUGGUGGAUGUAGCUAUCACAUUGUUAA